GACGAACGCUGGCGGCGUGCUUAACACAUGCAAGUCGAACGGGAUUUAGUAAACAGAAACCUCGGUGGAAGAUUACUAAUGAGAGUGGCGAACGGGUGAGUAACGCGUGAGCAACCUGCCUAUGACAGUGGGAUAGCCUCGGGAAACCGGGAUUAAUACCGCAUAAAAUCGUAGAAACACAUGUUUUAACGGUCAAAGAUUUAUCGGUCAUAGAUGGGCUCGCGUCUGAUUAGCUCGUUGGUGAGAUAACAGCCCACCAAGGCGACGAUCAGUAGCCGGUCUGAGAGGAUGAACGGCCACAUUGGAACUGAGACACGGUCCAAACUCCUACGGGAGGCAGCAGUGGGGAAUAUUGCACAAUGGGGGAAACCCUGAUGCAGCGACGCCGCGUGAACGAAGAAGGUAUUCGUAUCGUAAAGUUCUGUCCUAUGGGAAGAUAAUGACAGUACCAUAGAAGAAAGCUCCGGCUAAAUACGUG
rnacentral:rRNA from 1 species